rnacentral:tRNA from 1 species
GGCUCCUUGGUCAAGCGGUUAAGACACCGCCCUUUCACGGCGGUAACACGGGUUCGAGUCCCGUAGGAGGCA